UGGGGAAUUUGGACAAUGGGCGAAAGCCUGAUCCAGCAAUGCCGCGUGUGUGAAGAAGGCCUUCGGGUUGUAAAGCACUUUUGUCCGGAAAGAAAUCCUUGGCUCUAAUACAGUCGGGGGAUGACGGUACCGGAAGAAUAAGCACCGGCUAACUACGUGCCAGCAGCCGCGGUAAUACGUAGGGUGCAAGCGUUAAUCGGAAUUACUGGGCGUAAAGCGUGCGCAGGCGGUUUGCUAAGACCGAUGUGAAAUCCCCGGGCUCAACCUGGGAACUGCAUUGGUGACUGGCAGGCUAGAGUAUGGCAGAGGGGGGUAGAAUUCCACGUGUAGCAGUGAAAUGCGUAGAGAUGUGGAGGAAUACCGAUGGCGAAGGCAGCCCCCUGGGCCAAUACUGACGCUCAUGCACGAAAGCGUGGGGAGCAAACAGGAUUAGAUACCCUGGUAGUCCACGCCCUAAACGAUGUCAACUAGUUGUUGGGGAUUCAUUCCUUAGUAACGUAGCUAACGCGUGAAGUUGACCGCCUGGGGAGUACGGUCGCAAGAUUAAAACUCAAAGGAAUUGACGGGGUCAUAGCUGUUUCCU
rnacentral:rRNA from 1 species